GAUGAACGCUGGCGGCGUGCUUAAUACAUGCAAGUCGUGCGAAAAGAUCAGGAGCUUGCUACAUUGACGUUAGAGGCGGACGGGUGAGUAACAUGAGGGUAACCUAACUAUAAGACUGGAAUAACUCCGGGAAACCGAGGCUAAUGCCGGAUAACAUCUAGAACCGCAUGGUUCUAAAGCUACAGCUGGUUUUGCUAUACCUUAUAGCUGGACCCGCGCCGUAUUAGUAAGUUGGUAAGGUAACGGCUUACCAAGGCGACGAUAAGUAGCCGACCUGAGAGGGGGAAGCGCCACAGUGGGAGUGAGACACGGUACAGACUCCUACGGGAGGCACCGGUAGGGAAUCGACCGAGAUGGGCGAAAGCCUGACGGAGCGGCGCCGCGUGAGUGAUGAAGGUCUUCGGGUCGUAAGACUCUGUUAGUGGGGAAGACCGAUUGUGGAAGUAACUGAGCACGUCUUGACGGUACCUACUCAGAAAGCCACGGCUAACUACGUG
rnacentral:rRNA from 1 species